UCAAGAUUGGAACAUAAAACCCAACAAUUAGUCAAUAAACCUAUUUUCUAUUUGACAAUAAAAACUACGUUCCCUCCCUCCAUCUCCAUGGCAUGGGACCUGGAUCAGCUAAAUCGCACACCUCAUUACAACCAUGGGUCAUGGCUAUUCUCGUCGUCGAUUCUCACGCUUGAUCCCUGAUUUUCCAUGCCCUCGCCCAUAACCCUCCUUCCUUCCUUCCCCUGCUCGUCGAUUCCCAAGUGCAUAAAUGAUAACCAAAUCACCUGAAUCCUUUAUUGAUCAUACAAAUUCGUUUUCAAUCUAUCAGAAAUUCAUACUAAAUCAAUUGAACCCAUCAAAAUCGUAGAAAAUUUAAUGAUUUAAACAGAUUGGUGAUUUUUCAUCAGUGUGAAUCAUUUCCAUAGUUGAAGCUGAGCGAUAAGUGUGCAUCACUCAUCAUUGUUGAAGUGGAUUUCAAUUUAAAGGUUUGAACUCUGGCAAUCAGUUGGAUUGUUUUUGGAUAUUUGCUAUUUCAAGUGGGAUUACUCCACAAAAGUUAUUCAAUGAAAUAUUAAGAUCAAGAUGCGUAAGAUUGUAUAGCAAACAGAAUGAAAACUGGUGGAAUUGAUGCACUGAUACCAACAGAAUGUGUAAAGAUUUUUGUAUGUAUCAUGUAAGACUCUAUUUGUUGCUGUAUUUGAGUCUAUGUCUUUUUUGACAUGCAUUGGAGAACAAACAUUUUUGCAUCAGGUCAAGUGUAUGAUCGAUGACCUGCAUCUUGUGAUUUGACUCUAUUGGUAUUUGUAACGUGAGAUUGUGCUUUUGUAUAUAUUGUUUAAAAACUUUAUUGAAAUUUGUAUUUGAGUAGAAAAA